CCUACGGGCGGCAGCAGUGAGGAAUAUUGGUCAAUGGAUGAGAGUCUGAACCAGCCAAGUAGCGUGAAGGAUGACUGCCCUAUGGGUUGUAAACUUCUUUUAUAUGGGAAUAAAACGUUCCACGUGUGGGAUUUUGUAUGUACCAUAUGAAUAAGGAUCGGCUAACUCCGUGCCAGCAGCCGCGGUAAUACGGAGGAUCCGAGCGUUAUCCGGAUUUAUUGGGUUUAAAGGGAGCGUAGGUGGAUUGUUAAGUCAGUUGUGAAAGUUUGCGGCUCAACCGUAAAAUUGCAGUUGAAACUGGCAGUCUUGAGUACAGUAGAGGUGGGCGGAAUUCGUGGUGUAGCGGUGAAAUGCUUAGAUAUCACGAAGAACUCCGAUUGCGAAGGCAGUUCACUGGACUGCAACUGACACUGAGGCUCGAAAGUGUGGGUAUCAAACAGGAUUAGAUACCCUGGUAGUC
rnacentral:rRNA from 1 species